rnacentral:rRNA from 1 species
UGGGGAAUAUUGGACAAUGGGCGCAAGCCUGAUCCAGCCAUGCCGCGUGGGUGAUGAAGGCCUUAGGGUUGUAAAGCCCUUUCGAUCGGGAAAAUGGGCGGGUGAUGAACCCGUUCUGAUGGUACCGGAAGAAGAAGCCCCGGCUAACUAC